AUUCAGGAGUGAAGCUGCUGUGUGCAGGACUGGAGAGUCCACACUGUAAACUGGAGACUCUCAGACUGAGUCGCUGUAAACUCUCAUGGAAAAGGUGUGAAGCUCCAUUGUAUGGCUGUAACCGCUCAAAGACAAGUUGUGAAGCUCUCUCCUCAGUUCUCAGCUCCAAGUCCUCUAGUCUGAGAGAGCUGGAUCUGAGUAACAAUGAACUGGAGGAUUCAGGAGUGAAGCUGCUCUGUGCUGGACUGGAGAGUCCACACUGUGACCUGGAGACUCUCAGGUCAGAUUAAGUUAGUUUGUCUUCAAUGAUAUAAAUGUGUUUCUAAACUAUCAGCUCCAUGCAGUGUAAAAAUGAUCUCUCUUUCUUAAUCUAUGAAUUUAUUUAUCAAUAUAUCUGAUAUUAACAUAUUUUUCAUCAGAAAUUUCACCAGAACUAUGGAGCCAGAGGAACUAAUGUAGGGGACAAAACUUGGGACUAAAAGCCUAGAAACCUUUUUGUGAAUUUGUGUUUCCAUGGCAUCACAAGAACCUUGUAGACACAACAAACUUAUUACACAACAGUUCAAAUAGACAGUGUCUGAAAAAUAAAUAAAUAUCCCAGCCUCAUUGUGAUAUUAAUACUACAGUACUUCCUGUAAACAGUAGAGCACAAUUAACUAAUUUUUUUCUCUUUUUUAAACAAAAUAAAUUGUAAAUACUUUCA